rnacentral:misc_RNA from 1 species
GAAAGUUGAGACUGUUAUGCUAAUGAACAGAGUUGAUCACAGGUAAUGGAUUCAGAUUUUAUGGAAAAAUGGAAAGGAAAGGCAUAACUGGCCAGAUUUUGAAGUUAUGAACUCUUUAUCUUCAACCCCUAAUGAUGGCAAUUCAUGCGCUAAUGCUAUAUAUGUAGUCUAAUCAGGAUAUGUCCUCAACGUACCAUAUGAAUCCACAUUUUAUCUAAUUUUUGU